AGAGGGUGCGAGCGUUAAUCGGAUUUACUGGGCGUAAAGCGUGCGUAGGCGGCUUUUUAAGUCGGAUGUGAAAUCCCCGAGCUUAACUUGGGAAUUGCAUUCGAUACUGGGAAGCUAGAGUAUGGGAGAGGAUGGUAGAAUUCCAGGUGUAGCGGUGAAAUGCGUAGAGAUCUGGAGGAAUACCGAUGGCGAAGGCAGCCAUCUGGCCUAAUACUGACGCUGAGGUACGAAAGCAUGGGGAGCAAACAGGAUUAGAUACCCUGGUAGUCCACGCCCUAAACGAUGCGAACUGGAUGUUGGUCUCAACUCGGAGAUCAGUGUCGAAGCUAACGCGUUAAGUUCGCCGCCUGGGGAGUACGGUCGCAAGACUGAAACUCAAAGGAAUUGACGGGGGCCCGCACAAGCGGUGGAGUAUGUGGUUUAAUUCGAUGCAACGCGAAGAACCUUACCUGGCCUUGACAUGUCCGGAAUCCAGCAGAGAUGCAGGAGUGCCUUCGGGAAUCGGAACACAGGUGC
rnacentral:rRNA from 1 species